rnacentral:rRNA from 1 species
UACGUAGGGGGCAAGCGUUGUCCGGAAUUAUUGGGCGUAAAGAGCGCGUAGGCGGUCCGGUAAGUCGGUUGUGAAAGUCGGGGGCUCAACCCUCGGAUGCCGAUCGAUACUGUCGGGCUAGAGUCCGGAAGAGGCGAGUGGAAUUCCUGGUGUAGCGGUGAAAUGCGCAGAUAUCAGGAAGAACACCCGUGGCUAAGGCGGGUCUCUGGGCCGAUACUGACGCUGAGGAGCGAAAGCGUGGGGAGCGAACAGG